GCUGUUAAGGGUUCGUAGUUGAACUGGGGGUUGUUUAAGGAAACGACAAAGUCCUUUCCUCGGGAAUGCGACCGUCGCUCUUGCAACUCGAGAACAUCAGAAACAUCACCACGGGAGUGGACCUCUCGAUCUACGCAUGCAAUGCAUGUAGAGGGGCGCCCGUGAUAUUUACUGUGACAAAGAAGUGUGACCAAAGCAGUCAAACGACAUGAAUUAGAAAGCAUGGGAUAACAAAGGGCAGCCUACGGGCUACCGUUACGGCUUUUGUUGGUUUUAAAAGUCUGUGGGAGACUAUGGCACGUGUGAACAGCGUUGGAUUCGUCCUCGCCAUCUGGUGUGCUUUGCAUGUCAGACGCCGGCGUCCAGGAAUGAAGGAGGGUUGUUCGGGGGAGAACGUACUUGAACGUGAGAGGUGAAUUCUUAGACCGUUCAAAGACGAACUACAGCGAAGGCAUUCUCCAAGGAUACCUUCCUCAUCAAGAACCAAAGUGUGGAGAUCGAAGAUGAUUAGAUACCAUUGUAGUCC
rnacentral:rRNA from 1 species